UACAGAGGGUGCGAGCGUUGUCCGGAAUCACUGGGCGUAAAGGGCGCGUAGGCGGCCUGAUAAGUCGGGGGUGAAAUCCUGUGGCUUAACCACAGGGCUGCCUCCGAGACUGUCGGGCUCGAGCACAGUAGAGGCAGGUGGAAAUUCCCGGUGUAGCGGUGGAAUGCGUAGAGAUCGGGAAGAACAUCGGUGGCGAAGGCGGC
rnacentral:rRNA from 1 species